AAUAGAUACCCGGGUAGUCCUGGCCGUAAACGAUGACCACUAGAUGUGUGGGGUAUCGACCCCCUACGUGUCGUAAGCAAACGCGAUAAGUGGUCCGCCUGGGGAGUACGGUCGCAAGAUUAAAACUCAAAGGAAUUGACGGGGACCCGCACAAGCAGCGGAGCGUGUGGUUUAAUUCGAUGCAACGCGAAGCACCUUACCAGGGCUUGACAUGCUCUUGCACCGCCCGUAACGGGGCGUGCUCGCAAGGGACAGGAGCAACAGGUGCUGCAUGGCUGUCGUCAGCUCGUGUCGUGAGAUGUUGGGUUAAGUCCCGCAACGAGCGCAACCCCCAUGGCUAGUUGUACUUCUCUAGUCAGACUGCCACUCUCAAAGUGGAGGAAGUGGGGAUGACGUCAAGUCAGCACGGCCCUUAGUCCUGGGCGACACACACGCUACAAUGGCCGAGACAACGAGUCGCCAACCCGCGAGGGGGAGCCGAAUCUCAGCAAACUCGGUCUCAGUUCAGAUUGCAGGCUG
rnacentral:rRNA from 1 species